rnacentral:rRNA from 1 species
UACGUAGGGCGCAAGCGUUGUCCGGAAUUACUGGGCGUAAAGAGUGCGUAGGUUGUUGAAUAAGUUACUGGUGGAGAAUCGGGGCCCAACCCCGUGGAAGUCAGUAAUACUAUUCAACUCGAGGGCUGGAGAGGUUAACGGAAUUCUAUGUGUAGCGGUAAAAUGCUCAAAUAUAUAGAGGAACACCAAUGGCGAAGGCAGCUCGCUGGAACGGUACUGACGCUGAGGUGCGAAAGCGUGGGGAGCAAACAGG